GUAGCCGGACUGAGAGGUUGAACGGCCACAUUGGGACUGAGACACGGCCCAGACUCCUACGGGAGGCAGCAGUGGGGGAUAUUGCACAAUGGGGGAAACCCUGAUGCAGCGACGCCGCGUGGAGGAAGAAGGUUUUCGGAUUGUAAACUCCUGUCGUUAGGGACGAUAAUGACGGUACCUAACAAGAAAGCACCGGCUAACUACGUGCCAGCAGCCGCGGUAAAACGUAGGGUGCAAGCGUUGUCCGGAAUUACUGGGUGUAAAGGGAGCGCAGGCGGACCGGCAAGUUGGAAGUGAAAACUAUGGGCUCAACCCAUAAAUUGCUUUCAAAACUGCUGGCCUUGAGUAGUGCAGAGGUAGGUGGAAUUCCCGGUGUAGCGGUGGAAUGCGUAGAUAUCGGGAGGAACACCAGUGGCGAAGGCGACCUACUGGGCACCAACUGACGCUGAGGCUCGAAAGCAUGGGUAGCAAACAGGAUUAGAUACCCUGGUAGUCCAUGCCGUAAACGAUGAUUACUAGGUGUUGGAGGAUUGACCCCUUCAGUGCCGCAGUUAACACAAUAAGUAAUCCACCUGGGGAGUACGACCGCAAGGUUGAAACUCAAAGGAAUUGACGGGGGCCCGCACAAGCAGUGGAGUAUGUGGUUUAAUUCGAAGCAACGCGAAGAACCUUACCAGGUCUUGACAUCCGAUGCAUAGCUUAGAGAUAAGUGAAGUCCUUCGGGACAUCGAGACAGGUGGUGCAUGGUUGUCGUCAGCUCGUGUCGUGAGAUGUUGGGUUAAGUCCCGCAACGAGCGCAACCCUUAUUGCCAGUUACUACGCAAGAGGACUCUGGCGAGACUGCCGUUGACAAAACGGAGGAAGGUGGGGAUGACGUCAAAUCAUCAUGCCCUUUAUGACCUGGGCUACACACGUACUACAAUGGCGUUUAACAAAGAGAAGCAAGACCGCGAGGUGGAGCAAAACUCAAAAACAACGUCUCAGUUCAGAUUGCAGGCUGCAACUCGCCUGCAUGAAGUCGGAAUUGCUAGUAAUCGCGGAUCAGCAUGCCGCGGUGAAUACGUUCCCGGGCCUUGUACACACCGCCCGUCACACCAUGAGAGCCGGGGGGACCCGAAGUCGGUAGUCUAACCGUAAGGAGGACGCCGCCGAAGGUAAAACUGGUGAUUGGGGUGAAGUCGUAACAAGGUAGCCGUA
rnacentral:rRNA from 1 species